rnacentral:lncRNA from 1 species
CCUACUCAGCACUUGGGACAAAUUCCAGCAUGUAACUUCCUCCUAGUGAAUGAUCGUGACAGGAGAGGGAGUUAAACUUAAUUUAUGUUAUCUAAUAAGCUCAGUGUAGCAACUUGGAAAGUUAGCCUUCCAGAAUUUUCCCGCAGACUUCUCCCCAGUGAAUUAUGUAGUGCCAUAUAUUACAAUUGUUACCGCCAUAUAUUACAAUUGUUACCGAUGCCACGCUCCCCAAAUGUAGUUG